GACGUAGGGCGCGAGCGUUGUCCGGAUUUAUUGGGCGUAAAGAGCUCGUAGGCGGCUUGUCGCGUCGACUGUGAAAACUCGGGGCUCAACUCCGAGCUUGCAGUCGAUACGGGCAGGCUAGAGUUCGGUAGGGGAGACUGGAAUUCCUGGUGUAGCGGUGAAAUGCGCAGAUAUCAGGAGGAACACCGGUGGCGAAGGCGGGACUCUGGGCCGAUACUGACGCUGAGGAGCGAAAGCGUGGGGAGCAAACAGG
rnacentral:rRNA from 1 species